rnacentral:rRNA from 1 species
GACGGAGGAUGCAAGCGUUAUCCGGAAUGAUUGGGCGUAAAGCGCCCGCAGGCGGCAGUUCAAGUCCGCUGUGAAAGACCGGGGCUUAACUUCGGAAAGGCAGUGGAAACUGAACAGCUAGAGUAUGGUAGAGGCAGAGGGAAUUCCUGGUGUAGCGGUGAAAUGCGCAGAUGUCAGGAGGAACACCGAUUGCGAAGGCAGCUCGCUGGGACGUUACUGACGCUGAGACGCGAAAGCGUGGGGAGCAAACAGG